ensembl:lncRNA
GGGGGGGGGGGGUCCUUUUCAGGUCACCACCACUUCCCAUUUCUGCUCAGGUUGCUCAGGAAACACGUGCCCGAACGCGUGGAGGCCUGCUGCUGCCAGCCAGAAGAUACCCGGACCGCAGAGGACGAGUAGUGUGUGUGUGUGUGUGUGUGUGUGUGUGUGUGUGUGUGUGUGUGUGUGUGUGUGUGUGUGUGUGUGUGUGCCACAAUUUAUCUGAGGUUCACUGCACUUCCUCGUGUCUUACAAGGGAACCUUCUGUUACCGGCACGGGACUCCGGCAGAUGGCUGCCGGGACGUUGCUCCUGUAAACAUAAAAACACUGAGAAAACAUGGACAAACAACCGUUUUCAUACUUUGUGGGAUUGUUAAAGUUUCGAAGGGUUUUUCCCUCAUAGCUUGUAAAAAUAACUCAUUUGUUUGGUUACAUUGACUAAAUGUCCUUUUGAUGAGAAGGUGGUGUUGAUUAAACUUACCAUCAAGGCUUGAACAGAUCGUUCAAUAAAGGAAAUAAAAAAAACAUUUCAGAACUUUCCGAUGACUUAAGGAGCAAAAGUUCUGGACGGGGCUUACUGUGAUUGACAGGUCUCCACCACAGUGUUGUGGUGUCUGGGAGUUGUUUGUGUUUUGGUCUGAAACUUUCGCGGCGUGUUUUCAUUUCCGGUAAGUUUAUCGUAACAUUUUGGUUGCCUGAGAUAUUGUGCAUUCAGUUUAUCUCAACUUACCCUACAAACCAAUGGGUGAUGUCACAACGACAUCUUCCGAUAUAAAGUCCACAACCAGACCAAUUUCAAAAUACCACUCCUGAGGGUAGUGCUGUAGAACGUGACCUUUGCUGCUGCCUAGUAUGAGCAAUUACACAUACUGUUUUCCAGCACAUCACAGCGCCGAAGCAGCACCGUUGAGGUCACCAAUGACCUCCUCGGUGCAGCCAAUAUUGGUUACUCCUUUUGCUACACAGUUGCUUUGCAGACAGGACCUUCUUUGUUACUGGUGGCAAUUCAUCCUCCACCCUGGUAUCUCUCACGAGGCGUCCCUCAGGGCUCAACCGCCGGUCCCCUUCUAUUUUCUAUCCAAAAAUGUUUGUUUGGCCAAAUUAUUCAGAACCACAACAUCCCAUUUCACCGCAACCCAUGUGGAACAAAGCUACCGUCCAUUGAUAAUAAAGAAUGGUCACAAUGUGAGACAAACAAAACAAAGGUCACAUAGUCACUCCCAGAAAUAAACUCCUCCAGCAGCUUGCCCAGUCCCUCAACUAAUUAUGCCAUCACAUUGAAUAAUAUUCAACAGUACUUGGCCAAAUAUUUAGCUAUGCAAACGUACAAGAAGGGGUCACAUUCCCCCCCGCACUAAGCAUCUUUGUGGCGGCCCCCAGUUCGGUGUCAGAUUCCUUGCAGCAUUCUGCUGUUUGUGUUUCUAGGCCUGCAUGGUCUUGUCCCGAGCUACAUUUUGAUUCUCAGCUCAGAUCACAUCGCUCAGAUCCACGGCUCAACGGCUGUCCUCCCACAAUCCAGUCCAACACGUUUUGUGAGAAAGGCAUCUAAUGUUGACCUGCUUGCGUGCUCAUGUAAUGACUCUCGAUGUUUGAUAUGCAUACAGAAUUACUUUCUGUACCGUGUCGAUGUUUAAAGAUGUGAAUUAAAUACUUUUGUCAUGCGAUAAGGUUUUGCUUAAUUAUGCUUAUGUAGGUAAUGGUUGCUUCACAAAUGUUGCCCAUAAGCUGCAGCCAGCAGCCAGUUAGCUUAGCUUAGCACAAAAACUAGACCAGGGAGGAAAACUUCUGUCAUAUUGAAAGUGUCAGAUCUUCCCCGGUUUUGAACCCAAACGCAGAUUAAACAAGAUUGGUGGUGACAAGGUGAGUAAAUACACAAAUGUCUCUGAGAUGGCGUCCCAGACAGGUGAGUGCAGGAGGCUUGACGAAGCGAUGGGGUGGAAGGUUCCGGUUGCCAGGCAGGAGUGAAGGGAAAUCCAGGGUGAACGGCAGAGCAAUAGGAAACGGAUGAGCUAACAGGCAAAUGGACUUAAACUAUCGCGGCUGACACGCAAGCACAACAUACGGAAUAUGGCUGACGAUCCGGCAGGGACUGGAUGACAGGUCUCGGCUUAAAUAAUGUUCAGAUGAUCAGGACCAGGUGUGUUGGUGAUUUGGAAAAGGUGGGAACAGGCCCCGGUGAUCCUGGAAGUCCCGCCUUGUACUCGUUGCCCAGCAACUGGAACCGCGGUUACGUUCAGGAACGACACAAAGCACAAAGCAGACACAGACAAACAGGGACAACACUCUGAAGGAGAUGGGAUCGUGACAGGAAGGUCGUAAAAUGUUUUUCCCAGCAUCUGCAAAGCUCACUAAAUAAUAUCUGUUUCAUUUAAUCUGUACAAAAAGCUGCCCCUCCAGGAAGUUGUUGGCCCCGAGCAAAGACUGUGGUCUUAUAACUGUUCUCAGUGUGCGAAGCUCCUAUAGCUCCAGAAAUGAGAGACGCAUUGUUCCUUAUUUCUCAAGCAAAUAAGUGUCCAAAAUAAUUUGGGGAUCUAGUGAGUACGGAAGCGGGAUGAAUUUCUUUCCUUCAUUUCAUUUCAUAAAAAGGCAAUACAGCUUACAGUCACAUGAACAGUCUGACAGAGCUCCUCGUGAGACCCUGUCCAUAUCUCCUGGGACAUUAAUUCAGCUUUAACAUGAGAGCUACCAAAAGUCCACUGGUAGUCAACGUGUUUCAUAGCUUAUAGCCAAAGACAGCGCUGGGGUUCUUGUAUGGAUGUUUGGUGUUCAUCAUAUGUAUAUAUUCUUCAACAUCUGAGACAACCCCCGACCCCGGACUCUGAUGGGACCAUAGAAUGUGGACUCUGAUGGGACCAGAGGGGGUGGACUCUGAUGGGACCAGAGGAGGUGGACUCUGAUGGGACCAGAGAACGUGGACUCUGAUGGACCAGAGAACGUGGACUCUGAUGGGACCAGAGAACGUGGACUCUGAUGGGACCAGAUGAGGUGGACUCUGAUGGGACCAGAGGGGGUGGACUCUGAUGGGACCAGAGGAGGUGGACUCUGAUGGGACCAGAAGGGGUGGACUCUGAUGGGACCAGAUGAGGUGGACUCUGAUGGGACCAGAGGGGGUGGACUCCUCUGUCACAGUUCACAGAAAAAGUUUUCCUCAGAUAUUUGUCGGCCAUAUUUUCAAUUAUCAUUAUUUGCUGUUUACGUUCCUUGUGACGCAAAUAAAAAAUAAUGCACAACAGGAAUCUACCAGUGUGUUUCUUGCCAUGUGUUUUAUCUGCCCCUAAACAUCAUUGUGUCCCCGUUUUGCAUAAUAAGAAUAAAUGACCUGCGUUAUCUGCUUACUUUCAGCUGAAACCAAGUGAAGCGAUAAGGCAACCCUUCAGAAACACAAAAACAAUACUGAGCUUCCUAACCGACCUUGACACAGGAGAUAACAGAAAUGAAAGUAAAGUAAAUGGCAGAAAACCUCAACACCUCUCGUAACUCACAAUCAUAAUGAGAUAUUAUCUCAUAGUUAUGACUAAAGGAUCUUUUUGGCCUUGUACUACUAACCCAUAGCAUUCUUUUUUUAUUUUAUUCCUCUUGCACUGUAUGUCUGACGUAUUAUGGCAAUAAAUGUUUCCUGAUCCUGAGAACAUGCAAAGAGGCAGCAAUUAGUGCAUAAUUCAUGUGCGAGGAAAGCGUGAUAUUGCACCAUACAUCCAUCUUUAUUAUGUGUAAUUUGCGAUUCAUUGUAUUCUAAGUAGUGGGUUUUAAUCAAAGAUACUUUAAUAAGCUAUUGAGCAAUGCAAUGAGCAGGUCACCCCAGGGCCAGGAAUAUAUCUAUAUUAAUAUUUAAAAUAAGCUGAAUAAGAAAUAGGCCCUGGACCGGUUUUAUAAGGAAUGCAGUGUGUGUGUGUGUGUGUGUGUGUGUGUGUGUGUGUGUGUGUGUGUGUGUGUGUGUGUGUGUGUGUGUGUGUGUGUGCAGACCUUUUGUAAGGGUAACAGAGCUGUGAACCACCUCGUGCAGUGCAGGUAAUCAUUAAUCUGACACGUCAUCUCGGGCUUGAUGGCACAUUG